rnacentral:rRNA from 1 species
AAGACCUUGCACUUUUGGAGCGGCCGAUGUCUGAUUAGCUAGUUGGUGGGGUAAUGGCCUACCAAAGCUUCGAUCAGUAGCUGGUCUGAGAGGACGGCCAGCCACACUGGGACUGAGACACGGCCCAGACUCCUACGGGAGGCAGCAGUGGGGAAUUUUGGACAAUGGGCGCAAGCCUGAUCCAGCCAUGCCGCGUGAGUGAAGAAGGCCUUCGGGUUGUAAAGCUCUUUCAGCCGGGAAGAAAAGGUUGCGACUAAUAAUCGCAAUUCAUGACGGUACCGAAAGAAGAAGCACCGGCUAACUACGUGCCAGCAGCCGCGGUAAUACGUAGGGUGCGAGCGUUAAUCGGAAUUACUGGGCGUAAAGGGUGCGCAGGCGGUUUUGUAAGUCAGAUGUGAAAUCCCGGGCUUAACCUGGGAACU